rnacentral:tRNA from 2 species
AAGGAAGUGACAGAGUGGUUAUGUGAUUGACUUGAAAUUAAUUGAUGGGGGUUCAACUCCCUCCUUUCUCG